GAUGAACGCUGGCGGCGUGCUUAACACAUGCAAGUCGAACGGAAAGGCCCAAGCUUGCUUGGGUACUCGAGUGGCGAACGGGUGAGUAACACGUGGGUGAUCUGCCCUGCACUUCGGGAUAAGCCUGGGAAACUGGGUCUAAUACCGGAUAGGACCACAUUUUGGAUGGUGUGGUGGAAAGUUUUUCGGUGUGGGAUGAGCUCGCGGCCUAUCAGCUUGUUGGUGGGGUAAUGGCCUACCAAGGCGUCGACGGGUAGCCGGCCUGAGAGGGUGUACGGCCACAUUGGGACUGAGAUACGGCCCAGACUCCUACGGGAGGCAGCAGUGGGGAAUAUUGCACAAUGGGCGCAAGCCUGAUGCAGCGACGCCGCGUGGGGGAUGACGGCCUUCGGGUUGUAAACUCCUUUCGCUAGGGACGAAGCGUUAUGUGACGGUACCUGGAGAAGAAACACCGGCGAACUACGU
rnacentral:rRNA from 1 species